AAGUCGUAACAAGGUCUCCGUUGGUGAACCAGCGGAGGGAUCAUUACAGAGUUAUCCAACUCCCAAACCCAUGUGAACUUAUCUCUUUGUUGCCUCGGCGCAAGCUACCCGGGACCUCGCGCCCCGGGGCGGCCCGCCGGCGGACAAACCAAAACUCUUGUUAUCUUAGUUGAUUAUCUGAGUGUCUUAUUUAAUAAGUCAAAACUUUCAACAACGGAUCUCUUGGUUCUG
rnacentral:misc_RNA from 1 species